rnacentral:rRNA from 1 species
CCUACGGGAGGCAGCAGUGGGGAAUAUUGCGCAAUGGGCGAAAGCCUGACGCAGCGACGCCGCGUGAGGGAUGAAGGUCUUCGGAUCGUAAACCUCUGUCAGCAGGGAAGAACGGUCACUGUGCUAAUCAGCAGUGAAUUGACGGUACCUGCAAAGGAAGCACCGGCUAACUCCGUGCCAGCAGCCGCGGUAAUACGGAGGGUGCGAGCGUUAAUCGGAAUUACUGGGCGUAAAGCGCUCGUAGGCGGUAUGUCAAGUCAAGGGUGAAAGCCCCGCGCUCAACGGGGGAACUGCCUUUGAAACUGGCAAACUGGAGUGUGUGAGAGGAUAGUGGAAUGCCAGGUGUAGGAGUGAAAUCCGUAGAUAUCUGGAGGAACAUCAGUGGCGAAGGCGACUAUCUGGCACAUAACUGACGCUGAGGAGCGAAAGCGUGGGUAGCAAACAGGAUUAGAUACCCGAGUAGUC